GAUGAAGAACGUAGCGAAAUGCGAUAAGUAAUGUGAAUUGCAGAAUUCAGUGAAUCAUCGAAUCUUUGAACGCACAUUGCGCCCGUCAGUAUUCUGGCGGGCAUGCCUGUUCGAGCGUCAUUACGCCCCUCAAGUCCCCUGUGGACUUGGUGUUGGGGAUCGGCGAGGCUGGUUUUCCAGCACAGCCGUCCCUUAAAUUAAUUGGCGGUCUCGCCGUCGCCCUCCUCUGCGCAGUAGUAAAACACUCGCAACAGGAGCCCGGCGCGGUCCACUGCCGUAAAACCCCCCAACUUUUUAUAGUUGACCUCGAAUCAGGUAGGACUACCCGCUGAACUUAAGCAUAUCAAUAAGCGGAGGA
rnacentral:misc_RNA from 1 species